rnacentral:lncRNA from 10 species
CCUGGCUGGGGAGUGAAGCCAGAGGGCAGAAGUGCCCUGGAGUGCAGACCCCAGCAGACACUGACCAGGCACAGGAGGAUGAAGUGAGUUUGUUGGGGACAGAGAACAGCCAAGGGGCAGCCGGCAGUCAGCUCAAGUCCUCACAAAGAAGGGCAAUACCACCCGUGGGCCGGGACAGUCGGCUCGAGGGCCAGCAGCCAGGAACGUGGCGAAGAACUUGGAUCUGAGGUGGGCCCAUGGUGUAGCUGUGGUGUGCUAGCAAGAGUGGCCUCCAAACCCACCCUGGAAGGUGAUCCAGAGACCAUAGAGCAGAAAGGCUUCCUUCUCAGAGUGAGCUGCUGGAAGCCCACCAGUGUCAGGUGACAGAUAGUUUGGAGUACUAUAUUGAGGUCAAAAUUGCCCGAACAAUUUGCAAGAAAAUUUCAGAAGAUGAAAACUGUGCAUUUCAAGAGGAUCCCAAAAUGCAAAAGUCCAGCUGCUGCAUGGAAGUCCUACAAGGCUCUGGAACAGUCCCAAGACUCC